CUUAACAUACAUUAAUAUAUCUCUUCUUAGACUAUUCACAGACGUUUUGAGACCAAUUAUUAGAUAGUAAUUGACUAUACACAGUCCUAAUGCAGAGUCUAGGUCUAGAUUCUCGAAUAGUUUACAUAGAUGGUGCUUUUGAUCUGUUCCAUGCUGUACAUGUCAAGGUAAAUGUGAAUUGUGAAUUCCUUUCCAUAUGCCCACUCGCCUGAAAAUGGGGAAAGAAAGAAAAAAUCCUGACAUUCGUGUCAACUAAGUUCGUUUAGGACACAAUCACAUGUCCAUGCUUGUUAGCUUGCGUUGGCAACUCAGUCUCCGCUUGCCCAUUUCGGGUAAGAUUCUUACACACUAGCUUCUCUAAUUAAUUAGUUAUAACAGUCCUUAUGGUUACACUGUUUUUCUAGGUGGUCGCCCCAUCCAAUUAAUCAAUGUGACCUUAUCAUGCAUAAGUAAGCAAGCAAUAAUAAACCAUGAUCAGUGGUGUAUAUGUAACAUUAUCUUAUAACCAAAUAGAGCAAUAGCAAUUCUACAUAAUAAUAAAUGAAUCGGAUCUAGGUAAUCUAUUAAGCCUCGUCACGUUAACCUAACUAUGCAUGUAUUGGUGAGAACAUAACAAUAAAUAUUAUUAGGUAAAAACAACGUGAGCAGGACACAGUUUUCUUUUUGGUGCAACUCCAACCGACGGUCCGGUGCUCUGCAUGAGCUGUUUUUCUUAUACACGUUUGUCCCUGAAUUUUUCCUCUUGACUCGAGUAGGCAUAUAGUAAGAGCUCCUUUAUGGUGUUCUUGAGCUUUGGGGUUGAAAUCGGGACAGCAGUCAAAUUUUCAAAGUAUUUUUUUUCUUCUUCACACUCUCUGAUCGACUAUUUUGAUCUUUGAGAAGCAACUAUUAAAACAUACAGACUUCAAAGCUGAUACCACUUUACACACUACAGCUACUUUCACUCUGAACCACCUACCAACAGUUACUGGUUACAUGUUAGGUUAUGGUCUAAUCAUCGGGUCGUCUUCCAGUUCGCCCGUGGACACAGACACUGCAUGCCAUUCCACAAAACUAGAACAGACAUGUCCCAUCCAACCUAAGGUGCCGUUUGAUUCACGAAAUGUAACGUAAAUGGUAACGAUUCACACUUGAAUACCGGUGGUAACAAAUUUGAAUAAGGAGGUAUCCAUUUGUAGUGUGAUAUCGAUUACGGUUGGACUUAAAUAAACAUAUGAUCUAACGUUAUUGGUUACCCAUUACGUUGCCAAUAUGUGAACCAAACGGCACCUAAGAGACUGACAAUACGGGAGGGACGUGUUUGUCGCGAGUUGCUUGGCCAAACUCUCAGGCAAAGGGAGAUGAGUGGGUGUGUUGUUCGGUGGAGAAAAAACAAAUGAAACUCGAGGACGAGUCUGAGCCUGAGUUGGUCAUUAAUUUCAUUAGAUGACUUUGUAUCUUUAGUUGACUUGACUUGGCAACGGGACUUGGUAUAUAGAAGUCAGAUCUAGAACUCCUUGAGGCUCUCCACCCAAACAACCACAGCUUGCUGGCAAGCCUCUGAAUCCAUGCAUCCUUCAUCACCUUCCAUUCUGCACUUACAGCAGCAGCAGCAGCCGCCGCCACAGCUUGCUGCGCUUGUUGUGCGACCUCAGCUCGCUCCAUGGACCCCUUCUGCUUCAGCUUGCAGAUAAGCGGAUGUAUGUCAGUUGCGUCAUCAUUUAUCACUGUCCAAUGUCCAUAGACAUCACAACAAGCACUCGAAGAUUUGGGACUGUUCCAACAAGGUAUGUUCUGGUCUUUCCAUGGCUUUGUAGCUUCUAUAGGCGUAUACCAUAUAUUACCAUCUCAGUAAAAGACAUUUCAGCUUCCUGGCCCAACUCAGAUGCCCUGCAGGUUCCCAAAACUCAUCAAACUCUGACCAUGGACAUUAUAUUGUUAUUUAGCUAUUUAGGCUGGUCAUCAUCAUCCUGUCACUUGUUUUGAAAAGCAUGGGUUCACGAUACUAAAAUAUUUAAUGCCAUUUUUUUUUAGCACCGAGCUGUUCAAAACGACAAGCACUUGAGAAGAGUUCUCCCUGCAUUUAUGAAUACUUGUGAAACUCUGACCAUGAAUGUAACCUUAGAUAUUAAAUAUACAUGAUGGAAUGUUCAAACUUUUGUCUUCUCCAAAAAUUUGAGUAGACGUUUCAUUUGUGGAACCUAUUGGUAAAAAUUCGAGUUUUGAAGGCCAAGCUUUCGAGAGCAGGGUUCCCAAUUUCGGGCAGAAAUCUCCGAAAUUUUCUUGAGUUUUGGUGGGUCCGAAAUAUAUAUAUUUCCGAAAUUGGCAUUUUAAUAUGAAUUAUACCGCUUUUUAAAACCCUAUUUGCUUUUGAACUAGAAUUCCCGACAUUUCGGAAAUUCCCUGGUUUUCGCUGGGGGCGAAUUUUUUCUUUUCUGAAAUUGUACACUCAAAAUUUUGAUUUCACAAUUCACCCAAGAGUUUUGUUCCAAACAUUUUUGAAAAUGCCCAGUUAUCGCCGGUCCAAACUCAGUAUCAGCCCUCAGGCUUAGGAAAUUCAGUUGGCCGGGCUCUUUUGUCAAACACUUCUACCAUAACGUCUGCGACCAAGUCAACUCCUUCACAAACAGAGCUGAAAAAUAAAGUUAUACUAGUAGAAUAUAUAUGCGUUGCGACGGUAUAUAAAUUAUUUGAUAAAAUAUUAACGCACAACGGUUAUAUGGAAACGAAAGCGCACCACUGGUUGGAAAAAUAGGGUUACCUGUCUAGUUCCUUUCCAUCAAACUACCCACUGGAUAUUAGCUUUUGUGACUACUCAUCUAUCAAAUUAACAUGCUUCUUUUCAAUGUCCAAAGAAUGGCAUCUUCCGAAAUGACCUGCAGUUACGGCUCCCUGCGCACCAGCACUGCAUAUAGUAAGCGGAAAAAAUGUUUUAUGGAGUGAUAUGAACCAAAUCACGGUCAUGGCAAGAGGGAAACACAGAUACAUGCAAGGAUUAAUCCUUAAUGCCAUGAAUAACCCGCCAGACAUGUCAACCUUGGCACAAAGAUGCGAUGCAUCUGCAAUCCAUGUGCCAUGCUCACCUGGCAAAACAAUCUAAAGAUGGUGUGCGGGGCGACAUGGAAGACGGCUGGACAAUCCAAGGCCGGCCAUAUGGAUCCUGAUCACUUCUCUCUUACAGCAGUUGCUCCAUCGCCAACUGCUUUCUGUCAGCAGAUCCUUGCACGAUCACACACUGAAUAACUAAAAUGAAAACAAUACGAGGUUCAUUUGUUGUCAUCCUACACCAAGUGACUUCUCAAAAAAGUUAAUGCAACAUUGCACCCUACUUUCCAAAAGAAAAAAACCAGACUACAUGUUCUGCAAGUCUACAUGCCUGAAGUGCCAGCUUAAUUUGAACUUUUGCUAAGAGAUACCUCUAGUCCUAUAAACUUAUACUCCUAAGCUACAAUCUGAACGUGAGUCGCCAAACUUGCUAAUGAAAUCCAGUUUUCAUAGCUAAAGCAACAAAUAAUGUGGUGCCUCUUAAACCAUGUACUGGCUCAGCGAGGCGGCUCAUACAUCAGUCUAGAGUCUAGAGAAGGACCCAAACUCCCUAAGCCACACAGGAGAGGAUAUUUCUUAGAUAUAAGAUGGAUUAAAUGAGAUUUUGUUCUGUUUGAAGAGGAUGGAAAGGCAGGGAAGGUGGUUCAUUAAGCACCAAUCAACUUAUUAAUGACAUGGCAUUGAUUUCAGGUGUGGAGCGUGGCCAUUUGAUCGCUUUCAUGAAGUGUUGUGAUGUUUUAGAUCUGUCAAAUUCAUAGCUUUAUAAGUACUACAGAUGGUAAAAAAAUAUUAUACAGGAAAACAAUAUGGAAAAUAAUAGCAUGGUUGAAUGUACUGUAGAAACAAAUGGAGAAAACCUUUCUAAACAUGAAACUUGGUCAAAUUUAUAGCUUUGUAAAUGGUACAGAUGGUAAAAAAGACUAUAAAAAAACAAUCUGGAAAAUAAUAUUACCUCCGUUUUCGAAUAUUUUGUCGUGUGCUAAACUAAAACGUGAUAAAUAAAAAAUACGGAGGGAGUAGGAAGUAGCAUGGUUGAAUGUAUUGUACACACAAAUGGAGAAAACCUUUCUAAACAUGAAACUUGGAAAGCAGGGGAAAUUUCAGUGUGAUGGUAUAUCUCAAGUAACCUGAAGUUAAAAUAGUUAACUAACGAUUUGUUAAACUGCUCCACAGCAGAAGUAAAAAGACAGAACACUAUGUUUCAAAAAGAAUAGACAGAACACUAAAUUCAAUAACACGACAGUUUGUACCUGCUAACUGCUGAGGCAUAAUCCAAGUCCAGUAACUCUGGCACCCGCGAAGGGGUCGACGGCGCCGCGACUUGCCUCGAACUGUAGGUCAGGAAGACAGCGAGAGGCGAGGGAUCCACUGUGCUCACCUGUUGAUGGUGGUGGACGCCAUGGCCACUUACACCCCACGGGCCAUCCUCCUCCGCGCGAACAGCGGCAGUGGCGCUGCCUCGGCCCUCGGCGGUCGGCGCCAUGCGAUGCGACACGGGGGACGCCCUCAACGCCAUGGCGAUCCCUCGAUGGUCAACGCAGAGGACGGGAUCUUAGGCACUCGUGGUUGUCCCCGAGGGCUCCGCCGUAGGAUGGGAGACGAGAUAUCGGAGGGAGGGAGAGGUUGAAGAAGCUGCACGCGGUAUGGGUGGAUGAGAUGGCGAGGAAGCUGCGGAGAGCGUGCCGUCCGGGAGGAGGUUGAGAAGGCGGCUCUGCGCGCGUUAGGAAAGCUGCGCGUUUCUGUUGGGUGCGGGUUCAGCGGGACGGUGGAAACAGAUAAGUUGGACCGUGGGUUUUAAUUAGACAUAAGUUUAGGGACGUUUCUGUAAAAACGAUGACCAUGGAAUCGUGACAACUGGUGUUGGAGACUUAUUGGGCCAAAUCUGGUUCUCCCAGCCCACAUGCACGGUACGCCAAACUGUGCCAUUCUGUUGCUCUAAAAAAACUGUACCAUUUUGUUACUCUAAGGGACAGUUUGGUACCAUAAAAACCCACCUGUUUCCCGGCAUUUUCUCCAGGAAGAAAGCCCAAGCGGACAUUUCUCUGGAGUUUUUACUUCUACGUGUUUGGAAGCCCAAACACUCAACAGACUUUCCUCCAGAGAAACAUCUUUUCCGGUCGGGAAAAACCCUAUCAUCGAGAGGCCAGGCGUUUCCACGGCGCCGCCAACCUUGUCUUGGAGCAUCUCCCCCAUCGCCCCGGCUCCCCGCGACGCUAGGCCUAGCCUCGUCGACGCCAUCCCCGUGAGCAUUUUGUUACUCUAAAAGAAAAGGGAAAAAACUAUAUCCUUUUAUAACUAACUAUAUAUUAGCUAAAAAGCCUAUUGUGAUCCUUGAAACAAAAUACUCUCUCCACAUGUAAAUAUAUUUUAGGACAGAUUAAUGGGGUGGAAAAAGUUUAAUGCUUCUAGUUAAAGCAACCAGGCUAUCUAGCUCUUGAUUGGAUACUAAAAAGUUCUUAUAUUUGUGGACAAAAUUUAGACACACGAAGUCCUUAUAUUUAUAGAUAGCGGGGGUAGCAAAGGUUGCAAACCAAAAAGAAUCAUAGGGCUGCCUUUAUUAUGUCCGGGGAAACGAGAAGUAUUGCAUGCGAGGAAAAUAAAUCAAAUUGUUUUUACUACUAUUUUAACAAUAUGGAAAGAAACUUGUUCGUGUGUUCAAUUUAGUUAGUACACGUAGGUAUAUUAAUUAGCUAUUCGGAGCAUGUUUGGCACUUGCAAUGUUUGAUUGACUUAUGUAGCAGAGCCAUCAUGUAUCUCAACUCGAUGUUUCUUUGCAUGAGUUGAAAUAUAUAUAUGAGUACAUAUAAGGGCUCCUUCAGAUGAUGAGGGAACAAAUGCACAUGGGUUUCAAGCACAAGGGGAAUUUUCUACCUGCACAUGCAUGACGCCUCUCCUUCCGACCGGAGAAAAACAUUUCCACAUAUCCAAUUGAGAGGCCAUGUGGGGAUUAAAAUCUCAACCAACUAAAAAAUCAGAAGAAAAAAAAAGAAUUCGAAAAUAUUGUAGCAGUUUAGAACAUCAGCACCAAUGCUAAGUUUACUAGAACAAGUGGCAGAAGCUACAGGUUAUCGUGUACUCAUUGAAAACGGUAGCUUAGCUACACAAUCUUAAACAGGGCUAUGCAAAAAGGUGAAGUAGCGGGAAUAUAGCUAGCACUGAUAAUUACAGUAUAAAUGUGAGAAGUAACAAAGUUAAGACACCAAUGCCAUGAGACAAUAGAUAAAAAUAAUCAUUUGAUUUUGUCUGCUCACAUGCCAUUAUAAUGAUCCAGUAGACAGACUUUGCAUUGCCUUGAACUAAGAAAUCAGAGUCAGCAAGAUAUACAUUGGACUUGGAGACAAACACACAGAAUGCUAGCCAAAUCAUUUGACCUAUAUAUGCUUCGGUACACAAAGGCUACCACCAGCUCCAUUAUCCAAUGACAUUCUGCAGCUAAGUGGCAACUG